AAAGCCUCCUUUAUGCGAAAGCUCUACCUCGCACAGAAGGUUUCCAAUACUGCUUUCGGUUUUCUUUCUUAAAAUAUUUUAUACUUUUGUCACUCGCUGGAAAAUUGCUGGCAAUUUGCACAAAAGAUAACACAGCGUAAAUCCCCCAAAUGUUGUACUUUCUUUUUUUGCUUUAAAUUUGGUGCCCAAAAGUUGUAGUUUUUUUUUUGCUUUAACUUUUUUUGAAAAAAUUUGCUUUAAAUUCGGUAACCAGCCCUGCAUAUAUAUGUUGCAGCUCUCUCUGUUAUCAUAAUCAAUAAGAAAAGGUUUAGAUUUUUUCUUAGAACAAACUCAUGGGUAUCUAAGAUCUGUCUUGUCGUUGCAGCUAUCUUAUGGUCACAUAGCAAUUGAUCUUAGGGAAUGGUAGUCAAAGAUGUAGUAAUUGAUCAUAGUAUAAGAGACAGCACCUGAAAGUUUAAGCCUUUGAAUUAAGCUUUUUGUGCCUUGCCUACCAGAGAUUGCAUCCCUCCCUUAAGUCUCAAUACAUCGUUAUUGCAUAAAGUGAAAUAUUUUAUACAAAACUAACUUUUAUAUUCUGUCUUUUAUGAAAUUUGUGAAAACCUUCAAGGCCCAGUUACUGAAGACAUGUUUCAUUGACAAGCUACAAUAAUGGGUCCAUCAGAUAGUCCUUGUUCAGGCGGAGUCUUUCUCGUUGCAUUUAGGACAAAAGUGUUUCACCCUAAUGUCAACAGCAAUGGAAGCAUUUGCCUUGACAUUUUGAAAGAACAAUGGAGUCCUGCACUCACCAUAUCCAAGGUUUUGCUUUCGAUAUGUUCAUUAUUAACGGAUCAAAAGUCCAAACCCAGAUGAUCCUUUGGUUCCAGAGAUUGCUCACAUGUACAAAACCGAUAGAGCCAAGUAUGAGUCUACUGCAAGGAGCCGGACUUAGAAAUAUGCUAUGGGGUAAAGUUUGUGCUUUUGAUCCAUCAAGACUCAGUUUUAAAGGAGGGAGAGUGAGAGAGAGAGAUAGGACACUACAUAGGAUCUUCCAUAAAAUUAAGUUAUGUAUGAUCUCUUUGUUUCAAAGCUUCUUUGAUUUCACUUGUUAAACAAGAAAAAAAAAACAUUUACUUCUCCUAUUUA